rnacentral:rRNA from 2 species
CUAAUACAUGCAAGUCGAGCGAACUGAUUAGAAGCUUGCUUCUAUGACGUUAGCGGCGGACGGGUGAGUAACACGUGGGCAACCUGCCUGUAAGACUGGGAUAACUUCGGGAAACCGAAGCUAAUACCGGAUAGGAUCUUCUCCUUCAUGGGAGAUGAUUGAAAGAUGGUUUCGGCUAUCACUUACAGAUGGGCCCGCGGUGCAUUAGCUAGUUGGUGAGGUAACGGCUCACCAAGGCAACGAUGCAUAGCCGACCUGAGAGGGUGAUCGGCCACACUGGGACUGAGACACGGCCCAGACUCCUACGGGAGGCAGCAGUAGGGAAUCUUCCGCAAUGGACGAAAGUCUGACGGAGCAACGCCGCGUGAGUGAUGAAGGCUUUCGGGUCGUAAAACUCUGUUGUUAGGGAAGAACAAGUACGAGAGUAACUGCUCGUACCUUGACGGUACCUAACCAGAAAGCCACGGCUAACUACGUGCCAGCAGCCGCGGUAAUACGUAGGUGGCAAGCGUUAUCCGGAAUUAUUGGGCGUAAAGCGCGCGCAGGCGGUUUCUUAAGUCUGAUGUGAAAGCCCACGGCUCAACCGUGGAGGGUCAUUGGAAACUGGGGAACUUGAGUGCAGAAGAGAAAAGCGGAAUUCCACGUGUAGCGGUGAAAUGCGUAGAGAUGUGGAGGAACACCAGUGGCGAAGGCGGCUUUUUGGUCUGUAACUGACGCUGAGGCGCGAAAGCG